UGUCCCUUGUGUAGACUUUAUUUAAGGUGAGAGUUUUGAGUUUGAUAAAGAUAAAGUGAUGGCCAAAAGAGAAGAUUACCUGAGCGACCUUCAUGCAUCAUUCUGAGAACGACAGCCAGCCUCCCUACCCCCAACCCCUACCCUAUCCUUCGCCUGCUGGAGAAAGAGCUGUUUCGCUCAUCUCCUGGGAAGAAGCCUUCCGCUAUCCCUCAUCGCAACGAGCCCUGUGCCGUUUGAUCUUCGAAUGGAGGCGUGUUCAGCAGAGCAACAUCUUAACCGCCACAAUCUAUCUAUGCCUUUACAGCCAGCCCACCUGCGGGCAUCUCACAGAAGAACCACGCCAUUUUGUGUCUCUUGUUUCCUUUUUUGUUCUUGUUUAAGGCUAAUUUCAGUGCCGUGCCUGAUCGAACAAUGCACGCUUAGUGACACAUUGCCUUCCUGGAUUUCUUUGGGGAAAAUAUCUGGCCAAAACCGUUCCUUCUUCACGGAAGUCUUUGAUCAUGAACGAAAAAAAAUAAUAAAUCAAUUCGCAAGAUGGGCAGGGUUUUUUUUCUGACACAAAUUGCUGCACAUCUGCGCUGACAACUUGA